UACGGGGGGAGCAAGCGUUGUUCGGAUUUACUGGGCGUAAAGGGCGCGUAGGCGGCGCAACAAGUCACUUGUGAAAUCUCCGGGCUUAACCCGGAGCGGCCAAGUGAUACUGUCGUGCUAGAGUGCGGAAGGGGCUACUGGAAUUCUCGGUGUAGCGGUGAAAUGCGUAGAUAUCGAGAGGAACACCUGCGGCGAAGGCGGGUUGCUGGGCUGACACUGACGCUGAGUGCGCGAAAGCCAGGGGAGCGAA
rnacentral:rRNA from 1 species